AACUUUCAAUCAUUGUAGAAGGAAGGAUCAAGACAUUCCAAGACAAAGCAAGAUUUAAACAAUACCUAUCCAAAAACCCAGCCCUACAGAAAGCACUAGAAGGAAAAUUCCAACAAUAAAAAGUCAGAUACACACUCAAAAACACUGUCUUUAGAUAUAGCCACAACAAUAA